rnacentral:antisense_RNA from 1 species
GUUGCCAUGCAGAAUGUCUGUUGGUCAGUUGGGCACAUCUGCACACAUUUACAAUAUCUGCCACCUCUUUUAACCCUCAACCCCGCCCCACAAAAUGAGUGAUGGUGCUUGUUGAUUUGCAGAUUCACAGUCUGGUGAGACAAGUUUGAGAUCUCAUAUUUUCAGCUCAUCCUUGAAAACCUUUCUUCGAUUUGACUGACCUUGAUGGCUCCCUGGAAUCUCACCUACAUUUUAUGGGAAAUUCAACUCUCCAGAGAGAAGAGCUUUCAGAUAGCUACGGGACUUGCAACUAUGACUUUCAGCUUUCGCUUUUGAAUGAGGCUCCAAAUGUCUCAAUGGUGGCACUAUUUCCAGAUUUGGGAGCCCUGCAAAGCUAAUCUGCUCAACCUUCACCUACUGGGUUCAAUGAAUAUGAAAAGCUGCCUUCCUGAAACUUUUCCUUCAAAGAGGGAAUGAUCUCCUGGAAUUCAAGCUUCUACAGGGUGGCUACCUGGUGUUUUCCACUUUUGCCGUCUCCUAAAAAGCAUCAAUCAAGCCUUGCCCUUUCAACCCACUGAACACAUAAACAUGCUUUCUCCUUAACUGAACUUAUGGCCACGAUGAACUUGAACUCUGAGAUUCACAGAGGAGAGUUUGUUUUAACAGCUGCUUUUACAAUGAAGCCCUGGAGUUACUACUCUCAAGACCCCUGGUUCUGAUAGGCCAUCUUUUCACUGUCCUCUGCAUUUUCUAAUGCCCAGCUGUCAAGGAACACCCACUGAAGUUUUCCAAAACAAAGGCACGAAACACAAGAAAGAGAACUGUGUGCAGGCCCAAGGAGAACAACU